GCUGUUUUCGGUUCAGGUCUGUCUUCAUCUGCUGUAGCAGGAAUAAUGUGCUGCUGUCCAUUCUGCUGCUUGUUGCUGCUGUGGUUUCCAAGUGUCACGCAAGAUGGAACUGCAUCAGGGAGCAGCACAGUAAUCAGGUGUAUGGAACUGAACACUUGUCCUCUGGUCUGAAUAUGGCUUAAUUGUUAGCUCCUCAAGAUCAUCCUGCUAAUGGGGAUCCACAGCCACUUUGAUAAUGUAAGGGGUCAGAUGGACACAUCUAUAUAAUACCAAAUUCCCUUUAAGGGAUGUCAUGUCACUCAGCAGGCAUCUUUGAAAUGCCUCUCGGGCAUGCAAGUGCAGCUCCUCUAUCUUUGAAUAAGGAAACAUCAAAUUCUCCAAAAUUGUUCACGAAGCUUACGAUUUAAUUACAUAUUUGAAAUCCCCAGUGAAAUCUGAUAAAAUCAGUUUUUCAAGAUCAGUUUAAUAGAUUUCAACAAAGAAAUAAAGUGUUGCUAUGCACAGGCCAUAUUGAUUGCAAAUACAUAAACAAGACGAGUAAAGAAAACGCGGUACUUAUUAAAAUAAUCACCCUUUACUUAAAUAUAUGAACACAAGAAAACCCCUGUUAACAGGUUAAUAUAAUGUUUCUCGUUCUAUGACGAGUCAAAUAAUGGCAACUUACUCUGACGAACACGGCUCUCCUUGGAGCAGCUGUGAGCGCUGGGUCUUCUUGUGUGACAUGUGUCAGCGUUAUAUGGCCACCUGGGAGAUCAUCCAGGUACUGGCACUGGAGUAUUCACAUGUGGUUGUAUCAUAAGAGAAGAGUACAUUUAAAUAUUCCGGUUAUCGCAAUGGAAACAUAUGAUGUAGCAAUGCGCACUUUUCAUUUCUAUCAUUUAAUACUUUUACCUGACAGCUAUUUAAAGCACAAUAAAAUUGUAAGCAUUGGCAUUUGCCUACAAAACCACCACUGGCUCUGCACCCCUUUACCUUAAUUCAUUACUUCAGACUUAUGUACCCUCUAGA